CCAAAAAAAUAUAAGGGCUAACUGUUUUUUUUUUAUAGAUUUAUCAUUUCAUAAAAAAAAAAAACUUAUCAAUCUUAUAAAUAUAUUAAAGAGAAGGAAUACUUUUAAUUAUAGAGGAAAGAGAAAAAUACUAUGAAUGUUUCCCACAAAAACAAAGUGCACGUUUCCAUUCUAACAAUUAUUAUCUCUUCCUCUUUAUUAAGAUCAUGAACACAAGUCCAGAGAAUUUUUAUACGAAAAAAAUAAAUCUUUCUUAUUUUCCUUUACACUAAAGAGCAUCUUCAGUUAACACCUUUUAACACAAUUUUCAUCAAAUAUUAGGAGAAAUAUAAGAGUACAGAUCCAAAAAAAAUUGAAGAAACAAAAAAAAUUACAGAUCUAUAUUUGGGUCCGUCGCGCAGUUGUAGCGCACUGAUUUCAAAUUAGAAAGCUGUAUAUUAGAUUCACAUCGGGUUCAAAAAUCCCGAUCUAUCUUCGAUUAUGAAUUCUUUGUAACAGUUGCCCAUUUUCUGAUGAAGAAGCAUUUGAAAUAUAUAAGGUA